GACGAACGCUGGCGGCGUGCUUAACACAUGCAAGUCGAACGGAAAGGCCCUGCCUUUGUGGGGUGCUCGAGUGGCGAACGGGUGAGUAACACGUGAGUAACCUGCCCUUGACUUUGGGAUAACUUCAGGAAACUGGGGCUAAUACCGGAUAGGAGCUCCUGCUGCAUGGUGGGGGCUGGAAAGUUUCGGCGGUUGGGGAUGGACUCGCGGCCUAUCAGCUUGUUGGUGGGGUAGUGGCUUACCAAGGCUUUGACGGGUAGCCGGCCUGAGAGGGUAACCGGCCAAGUUGGGACUGAGAUGCGGCCCGGACUCCUACGGGAGGCAGGGGAGGGGAAUAUUGCACAAUGGGCGGAGGCCUGGUGCGACAACGCCGCGUGCGGGAUGACGGCCAUCGGGUUGUAAACCGCUUUCGCCUGUGACGAAACGUGAGUGACAGUAAUGGGUAAAGAAGCACCGGCUAACUACGUG
rnacentral:rRNA from 1 species